UAACUUAUAAUUGCUCCGAGCUAUGUUAUCUAAGGUAGCAGCUAUGAUAGCCUGGCCGAUAGGGUUUGUCGGGAAACCGGCGGGCCUCCCAAUGCGGAAAGGAGUACAGUAUGUGCUUGG
rnacentral:ncRNA from 2 species